rnacentral:lncRNA from 12 species
CAUCAGUCUUGGCCAGUCGUACAAGGAUUGGGGUGGAUUUUAGGAUGGAUUUGGGGUGAAUUUGGGAAGGAUUUUAGGAUGGAUUUAGGAUGGAUUUGGGGUGGAUUUUGGGUGGAUUUUGGGUUUCUCUGAUAUUUUUCCCUCUCCCAGUGUCUCUAAGCAGCAGCCAUCAGUCCUGGCCACUUGUACAGGGGUUUAGGAUGGAUUUGGGAAGGAUUUGGGAUGGAUUUAGGGUGGAUUUAGGGUGGAUUUUGGGUUUCUCUGAUUUUUUUUUUCUAUAUUAUUGUCUCCAAGCAGCAGCCAUCGUGCUUGGCCAGUCAUACAGGGAUUUAGGAUGGAUUUGGGG